rnacentral:rRNA from 1 species
CCUACGGGGGGCUGCAGUAAGGAAUAUUGGACAAUGGCGGAGACGCUGAUCCAGCUAUCCCGCGUGCAGGAUGACGGCCCUACGGGUUGUAAACUGCUUUAGACUGGGGCGAAAAAGUGGGAUUUAUCCUACAUUGACGGUACCAGUAAAAUAAGCACCGGCUAACUCCGUGCCAGCAGCCGCGGUAAUCCGGAGGGUGCAAGCGUUAUCCGGAAUCACUGGGUAUAAGGGGUGUGUAUACGGCAGGAUGGAAAGGGCAUGGAUCAACGAUGGGAUUGCUUUUGAUACUGGCGAGCUUGGAUUAGGACGAGGUUGGCGGAAUGUGGCAAGUAGCGGUGAAAUGCAUAGAUAUGCCAUAGAAUACCGAUUGCGAAGGCAGCUGACUAGACCUAUAUUGACGCUGAGGCACGAAAGCGUGGGGAGCGAACAGGAUUAGAUACCCUAGUAGUC